rnacentral:rRNA from 1 species
UACGUAGGGUGCAAGCGUUGUCCGGAAUUAUUGGGCGUAAAGAGCUCGUAGGUGGCCUGUCGCGUCGGCUGUGAAAACUCGGGGCUCAACUCCGAGCUUGCAGUCGAUACGGGCAGGCUAGAGUUCGGCAGGGGAGACUGGAAUUCCUGGUGUAGCGGUGAAAUGCGCAGAUAUCAGGAGGAACACCGGUGGCAAAGGCGGGUCUCUGGGCCGAUACUGACACUGAGGAGCGAAAGCGUGGGGAGCGAACAGG